AGUGAACGCUGGCGGUAGGCCUAACACAUGCAAGUCGAACGGCAGCACAGUAAGAGCUUGCUCUUACGGGUGGCGAGUGGCGGACGGGUGAGGAAUACAUCGGAAUCUACUUUUUCGUGGGGGAUAACGUAGGGAAACUUACGCUAAUACCGCAUACGACCUACGGGUGAAAGCAGGGGAUCUUCGGACCUUGCGCGAUUGAAUGAGCCGAUGUCGGAUUAGCUAGUUGGCGGGCUAAAGGCCCACCAAGGCGACGAUCCGUAGCUGGUCUGAGAGGAUGAUCAGCUACACUGGAACUGAGACACGGUCGAGACUCCUGCGGGAGGAAGCAGUGGGGAAUAUUGGGCAAUGGGCGAAAGCCUGAUCCAGCCAUACCGCGUGGGUGAAGAAGGCCUUCGGGUUGUAAAGCCCUUUUGUUGGGAAAGAAAAGCAGCAGGUUAAUACCCCGCUGUUCUGACGGUACCCAAAGAAUAAGCACCGGCUAACUUCGUG
rnacentral:rRNA from 1 species